AAGCAGCUAAUGAGUUUUCUUACUUGAAUGUAUAUCUGCAGAUAUUUAGAGAAUGUUGGCAAUAGCAAAGCCAUGUUAUAAACCUUAAAGACAUUGAAGGCAUUAAGGUCCCUAAAAAUGGCUAUAAGA